UACGUAGGGUCCAAGCGUUAAUCGGAAUUACUGGGCGUAAAGCGUGCGCAGGCGGUUCUGAAAGUCAGCUGUGAAAGCCCCGGGCUUAACCUGGGAACUGCAUUUGUGACUGCACGGCUAGAGUGUGUCAGAGGGGGUAGAAUUCCACGUGUAGCAGUGAAAUGCGUAGAUAUGUGGAGGAAUACCGAUGGCGAAGGCAGCCCCCUGGGAUAACACUGACGCUCAUGCACGAAAGCGUGGGGAGCAAACAGG
rnacentral:rRNA from 1 species